rnacentral:rRNA from 1 species
AGAGCGAACGCUGGCUGCAGGCUUAACACAUGCAAGUCGAGCGCCCCGCAAGGGGAGCGGCAGACGGGAGAGUAACACGUGGGAACGUACCUUUCGGUUCGGAACAACCCAGGGAAACUUGGGCUAAUACCGGAUACGUCCGUAAGGAGAAAGAUUUAUCGCCGAAAGAUCGGCCCGCGUCUGAUUAGCUAGUUGGUGAGGUAACGGCUCACCAAGGCGACGAUCAGUAGCUGGUCUGAGAGGAUGAUCAGCCUCACUGGGACUGAGACACGGCCCAGACUCCUACGGGAGGCAGCAGUGGGGAAUAUUGGACAAUGGGCGCAAGCCUGAUCAGCCAUGCCGCGUGGGUGAUGAAGGCCCUAGGGUUGUAAAGCCCUUUCGGCGGGGAAGAUAAUGACGGUACCCGCAGAAGAAGCCCCGGCUAACUUCGUGCCAGCAGCCGC